rnacentral:rRNA from 1 species
GAUGAACGCUGGCGGCGUGCCUAAUACAUGCAAGUCGAGCGAACGGACGAGAAGCUUGCUUCUCUGAUGUUAGCGGCGGACGGGUGAGUAACACGUGGAUAACCUACCUAUAAGACUGGGAUAACUUCGGGAAACCGGAGCUAAUACCGGAUGAUAUUUUGAACCGCAUGGUUCAAUAGUGAAAGACGGUUUUGCUGUCACUUAUAGAUGGAUCCGCGCUGCAUUAGCUAGUUGGUAAGGUAACGGCUUACCAAGGCAACGAUGCAUAGCCGACCUGAGAGGGUGAUCGGCCACACUGGAACUGAGACACGGUCCAGACUCCUACGGGAGGCAGCAGUAGGGAAUCUUCCGCAAUGGGCGAAAGCCUGACGGAGCAACGCCGCGUGAGUGAUGAAGGUCUUCGGAUCGUAAAACUCUGUUAUUAGGGAAGAACAAAUGUGUAAGUAACUGUGCACAUCUUGACGGUACCUAAUCAGAAAGCCACGGCUAACUACGUG